rnacentral:lncRNA from 10 species
AGCAGAUGCAGCUCCCCUUCCCUCCCAUUCCACCAUCCACUGUCCCCAGCAAGAACCUGCGGGAGGGUGGCCCAAUGGGGAGGCCAGACCCUCCUAGACCAGCUGGAACCACCAUCAAGAUGUCCCCAGCCAUGUCAGACUCUGGGGCCCCAGGCGGAGGGCAACCAGAUGUCUUCAGCUCCAAGUCUGGCCUCUCCUCCCAGCAAGCAGCCAUUACAGAAACUGAGGCUUGGCCAGGCGUGGUGGCUCACACCUGCAAUCUCAGCACUGGGAGGCCAAGGUGGGCAGAUCGCUUGAGCCCAGGAGUUUGAGACCAGCCCGAGGAACAUGGCGAAACCCCAUCUCUACAAAAAAUACAGAAAUUAGCCAAGUGUGGUGGCACGUGUCUGUAGUUUCAGCUACUCAGGAGGCUUAGGUGGGAGGAUCACCUGAGCCUGGGAGGUAGAGGUUGCAAUGAGCAGAGAUUGCUCUCCAGCCAGGGAGACAGAGUGAGACCCUGUCCCAAAAUAA